UUUCGGUGAGCAGUGGCGCACGGGUGAGUAACACGUAGCUGACCUACCCCGAAGUCCCGCACAACGUCCCGAAAGGGACGCUAAUAGGGGAUGUGCUCUUUCUUCUUGGAGGGAGAGUAAAGGUUUACCGCUUCGGGAUGGGGCUGCGGUCCAUCAGCUUGUUGGUGGGGUAACGGCCUACCAAGGCAACGACGGAUAGCCGGCCUGAGAGGGUGGCCGGCCACAGGGGCACUGAGACACGGGUCCC
rnacentral:rRNA from 1 species